CCUCUUGAACUUUUUUUGAGGUUUGGCGCUGAUUCAUUUGUUGCAGCGGCCAUGAAAAAUUCUGAUGAGGUGUUUUGAGGGAAAGCAAAGCGCGGCUGAAGGCUGGGACAGCAGGGAAGGUGGCCCGGGCGGGUGUGGGCUCUGCACAGCCCGCAAAGCUCCGGCACUGAGGUGUCCACCCUCGGCCUUUGUGCCUUUGGAGUGAGGCAGGAGGGAUCUGUAAUCCCAGCGCCUUUGUGCCUUUGGGGACAGGCAGGAGGGAUCUGUAAUCCCAGUUUUGAGGAACAGCAGGAAGCCCGGAGCCAUUUCACAACGUGAGGCGCUCCAUGAGGAAGGGGAUGUGGAAAGUCAGCCAUCUGCAGGAACAAACAAGAGCUCGUGGCUCUGUGAGGACCCAGGGACUUGCAGCAAGGACAGAGAACUGACAGAAGUGCCAGGUGUUAGGAAUCACACCUGCAGGAGUUCAGCUCAAGGGAGUGAAUCCUCAGAAAUCUGAAAAUAGUGAUGAUGACAACUGCAUAUAUUUGCAGAUUUCCUACUGCAACCAGUAGCAGCUUGUAUGCAGAAAGAUUUCAGAAGCAAAAAGAAUCCUUUCCUUUUCCUUCAUGAAUUUUAUUAAUUCAACCAAAGUCUGUGUCAAUUCAGCCUUAAUAAAAAACAAUA